rnacentral:rRNA from 1 species
UGAAACAUCUUCGGGUUGUGAGGUUAAGCGACUAAGCGUACACGGUGGAUGCCCUGGCAGUCAGAGGCGAUGAAGGACGUGCUAAUCUGCGAAAAGCGUCGGUAAGGUGAUAUGAACCGUUAUAACCGGCGAUGUCCGAAUGGGGAAACCCAGUGCAAUUCGUUGCACUAUCGUUAACUGAAUACAUAGGUUAACGAGGCGAACCGGGGGAACUGAAACAUCUAAGUACCCCGAGGAAAAGAAAUCAACCGAGAUUCCCCCAGUAGCGGCGAGCGAACGGGGAGCAGCCCAGAGUCUGAAUCAGCUUGUGUGUUAGUGGAACGGUCUGGAAAGUCCGACGGUACAGGGUGAUAGUCCCGUACACCAAAAUGCACAGGCUGUGAACUCGAAGAGUAGGGCGGGACACGUGGUAUCCUGUCUGAAUAUGGGGGGACCAUCCUCCAAGGCUAAAUACUCCUGACUGACCGAUAGUGAACCAGUACCGUGAGGGAAAGGCGAAAAGAACCCCGGCGAGGGGAGUGAAAAAGAACCUGAAACCGUGUACGUACAAGCAGUGGGAGCACCUUCGGGUGUGACUGCGUACCUUUUGUAUAAUGGGUCAGCGACUUAUAUUCUGUAGCAAGGUUAACCGUAUAGGGGAGCCGCAGGGAAACCGAGUCUUAACUGGGCGUUAAGUUGCAGGGUAUAGACCCGAAACCCGGUGAUCUAGCCAUGGGCAGGUUGAAGGUUGGGUAACACUAACUGGAGGACCGAACCGACUAAUGUUGAAAAAUUAGCGGAUGACUUGUGGCUGGGGGUGAAAGGCCAAUCAAACCGGGAGAUAGCUGGUUCUCCCCGAAAGCUAUUUAGGUAGCGCCUCGUGAACUCAUCUUCGGGGGUAGAGCACUGUUUCGGCUAGGGGGUCAUCCCGACUUACCAACCCGAUGCAAACUACGAAUACCGAAGAAUGUUAUCACGGGAGACACACGGCGGGUGCUAACGUCCGUCGUGAAGAGGGAAACAACCCAGACCGCCAGCUAAGGUCCCAAAGUCAUGGUUAAGUGGGAAACGAUGUGGGAAGGCACAGACAGCCAGGAUGUUGGCUUAGAAGCAGCCAUCAUUUAAAGAAAGCGUAAUAGCUCACUGGUCGAGUCGGCCUGCGCGGAAGAUGUAACGGGGCUAAACCAUGCACCGAAGCUGCGGCAGCGACACUAUGUGUUGUUGGGUAGGGGAGCGUUCUGUAAGCCUGCGAAGGUGUGCUGUGAGGCAUGCUGGAGGUAUCAGAAGUGCGAAUGCUGACAUAAGUAACGAUAAAGCGGGUGAAAAGCCCGCUCGCCGGAAGACCAAGGGUUCCUGUCCAACGUUAAUCGGGGCAGGGUGAGUCGACCCCUAAGGCGAGGCCGAAAGGCGUAGUCGAUGGGAAACAGGUUAAUAUUCCUGUACUUGGUGUUACUGCGAAGGGGGGACGGAGAAGGCUAUGUUAGCCGGGCGACGGUUGUCCCGGUUUAAGCAUGUAGGCUGAUUGUCCAGGCAAAUCCGGAUAAUCAAGGCUGAGGUGUGAUGACGAGGCACUACGGUGCUGAAGUAACAAAUGCCCUGCUUCCAGGAAAAGCCUCUAAGCAUCAGGUAACAUCAAAUCGUACCCCAAACCGACACAGGUGGUCAGGUAGAGAAUACCAAGGCGCUUGAGAGAACUCGGGUGAAGGAACUAGGCAAAAUGGUGCCGUAACUUCGGGAGAAGGCACGCUGGUGUGUAGGUGAAGUCCCUGCGGAUGGAGCUGAGACCAGUCGAAGAUACCAGCUGGCUGCAACUGUUUAUUAAAAACACAGCACUGUGCAAACACGAAAGUGGACGUAUACGGUGUGACGCCUGCCCGGUGCCGGAAGGUUAAUUGAUGGGGUUAUCCGUAAGGAGAAGCUCUUGAUCGAAGCCCCGGUAAACGGCGGCCGUAACUAUAACGGUCCUAAGGUAGCGAAAUUCCUUGUCGGGUAAGUUCCGACCUGCACGAAUGGCGUAAUGAUGGCCAGGCUGUCUCCACCCGAGACUCAGUGAAAUUGAACUCGCUGUGAAGAUGCAGUGUACCCGCGGCAAGACGGAAAGACCCCGUGAACCUUUACUAUAGCUUGACACUGAACAUUGAGCCUUGAUGUGUAGGAUAGGUGGGAGGCUUUGAAGCGUGGACGCCAGUCUGCGUGGAGCCAACCUUGAAAUACCACCCUUUAAUGUUUGAUGUUCUAACGUUGGCCCCUGACCGGGGUUGCGGACAGUGUCUGGUGGGUAGUUUGACUGGGGCGGUCUCCUCCCAAAGCGUAACGGAGGAGCACGAAGGUUAGCUAAUCCUGGUCGGACAUCAGGAGGUUAGUGCAAUGGCAUAAGCUAGCUUGACUGCGAGCGUGACGGCGCGAGCAGGUGCGAAAGCAGGUCAUAGUGAUCCGGUGGUUCUGAAUGGAAGGGCCAUCGCUCAACGGAUAAAAGGUACUCCGGGGAUAACAGGCUGAUACCGCCCAAGAGUUCAUAUCGACGGCGGUGUUUGGCACCUCGAUGUCGGCUCAUCACAUCCUGGGGCUGAAGUAGGUCCCAAGGGUAUGGCUGUUCGCCAUUUAAAGUGGUACGCGAGCUGGGUUUAGAACGUCGUGAGACAGUUCGGUCCCUAUCUGCCGUGGGCGCUGGAGAAUUGAGGGGGGCUGCUCCUAGUACGAGAGGACCGGAGUGGACUAGUACGAGAGGACCGGAGUGGACGCAUCACUGGUGUUCGGGUUGUCAUGCCAAUGGCACUGCCCGGUAGCUAAAUGCGGAAGAGAUAAGUGCUGAAAGCAUCUAAGCACGAAACUUGCCCCGAGAUGAGUUCUCCCUGAGACUUUAAGUCUCCUGAAGGAACGUUAAAGACGAUGACGUUGAUAGGCCGGGUGUGUAAGCGCAGCGAUGCGUUGAGCUAACCGGUACUAAUGAACCGUGAGGCUUAACCUU